rnacentral:lncRNA from 1 species
GCAGCUGUCCGGUUCGCCAAGCUGGUCCAGCCGACCUGUGCCCGGGGCCCCAGUUCAACGAGCUGGAGGACAAGGGACUCGCCCCGCGAGGCCUCGAGGGGGUCUGCCGCUCCUUCAUCAUGCUGUUUGGAACCUAGACACGAUGGUAGGAAGCCAUCUCGGACAGUGCAGACAAGGGUGAUACCGUGGCAGAGUGGAGCACCAAGCUAGAAGGAUCCUGGAUCCCUGGACAACUCAUGGAGCCAAGCCACCAUGCCCAUCCACGACUACCUCCUCCCAGCUGCUCUGGGAGGGAGAGACAAACCUGCUCCUUGCGCUCACCAUGAUUUUGGACUCUGUUUCAUGAACCCAAAGCUGUAGCCUACCUAGUUCAGUAGUGUAUUGGGAUGGGGCACCUUUGCAUUUUGGACUAUUGUAAGAAUUGAAUUACAUAUAUGUGCUAUUCUGCAACUUUCUUUUUCACUCAACUUUGUCACACUUAAAUUUCUUUUUUUGUCUUUUUUUUUUCCUUUUUGUGGAGAACGGGGUCUCACUGUAUUGCCCAGGCAGGUCUCGAACUCCUGGGCUCAAGCCGUCUUCCUGCCUCUGCCUCCCUGAGAGCUGGGAUUACAGGCAUGAGCCACCACACCCGGCCAGUUCAACUUUGUUCACAAGAAUUGCCAUCAUGUUGCAUGUGCUCUGAGUCUCAUUCUUGCUGCUCUGUGGAACUCCGUUACUUAAAUAGCCCAGAUCCGCAUCCAUUCUCCUGCCGAGGGCACCUGAGUUGUGUCCAGUCACUUGCCUCAGAGACAGUGAUCCAGUGAACAGAUUUGUCUCCUGAACGUGUGUUUGUUCAAGUCUCUCUAGGGUAAACACCUACAAGUGGAACUGCAGAGUAUGCGUAUGCAUACCUAAAUGACUUUACUAGAUCUUGCCAAAUUGCUCUUCAAAGUAGCUAUAAGAGCUCUUCCUGGUUUACAGCAAAGGUUGGCAAACUUUCUAUUAAGAGUCAGACAGUAAAUAUUUUUUGCUUUGCGGGCCUAAUGGUCUCUCGCAAAUAUUCAGUUGUGUCAUUAGUCUCUCGCAGUGCCAAAUGGUCUCACAAAUAUUCAGUUCUGCCAUGGCAGAUCAGAAGCAGCCAGAGACAAUAUGUAAACAAGUGGGCAUCUCUGUGUUCCAAUAAAACUUUAUUUACAAAAACAGCAGCUGGCCCAGUGCGGCCUCAGGGCUUAGCUUGUGGGCCUCUGCUCCAACAUUUGGUUAUUGUCAGUUUGGCCAGUCCGUGAAUUAUUUAUUCAUAUUUUUAUUGUCCAUUUUUCUUCUGUGAAAUGCUUACUCAUUUUUGCUUGUUUUCCUAUUUAGCCGUUCUGAGGAAUUUCGGUGCUCGAUAAUAACCAACUCUGUGUCCUUCGAU